rnacentral:rRNA from 1 species
UGAGGAAUAUUGGGCAAUGCCCGCAAGGGUGACCCAGCAACGCCGCGUGGAGGAUGAAUGUCGUAAGAUUGUAAACUCCUGUUAGAGGGGAAGAAUAGUACCGGUUGGACCGGUAUAUGACCGUACCCUCAGAGAAAGCCCCGGCUAACUACGUGCCAGCAGCCGCGGUAAUACGUAGGGGGCAAGCGUUGUCCGGAUUUACUGGGCGUAAAGCGUGCGCAGGCGGUUUUGUAAGACAGAUGUGAAAUCCCCGGGCUUAACCUGGGAACUGCGUUUGUGACUGCAAGGCUGGAGUACGGCAGAGGGGGGUGGAAUUCCACGUGUAGCAGUGAAAUGCGUAGAGAUGUGGAGGAACACCGAUGGCGAAGGCAGCCCCCUGGGCCUGUACUGACGCUCAUGCACGAAAGCGUGGGGAGCAAACA